rnacentral:misc_RNA from 1 species
GUAGGUGAACCUGCGGAAGGAUCAUUAACACUUUUGUUCCAACUAACAAUAUCAACCAACCCGUGAACCUGUUUCGAGCCGGUCAGCGCUGGUGGGGUUGCUCUACAUGGUCUGUGAUAGGAUUCGUUCUAUCUCGUAGGGUAGCCUGGAGCGGGAGCUCGCCUUCUCUGACUUGGUGUUUUUUCCCUUCAAUUUGCCAUGUCAUUGGCCUUACCCCGGGUCAUGUCAUGGUGGGAUCCUUCUAUUUUAUUAACCCUAUUAACCCUUUAUAUCUUUGCCAAUGUGCUGAAUUUCAUUCCUUUGUAGCGCUUCGUCGAAAGGCGAUUCCUGCUCUCUGGAAUGGUUGUAUACGAAAUGUAGUACAACUCUUAGCAAUGGAUAUCUUGGUUCUC